rnacentral:rRNA from 1 species
AGUGAACGCUGGCGGUAGGCCUAACACAUGCGAGUCGAACGGCAGCACAGUAAGAGCUUGCUCUUACGGGUGGCGAGUGGCGGACGGGUGAGGAAUACAUCGGAAUCUACUUUUUCGUGGGGGAUAACGUAGGGAAACUUACGCUAAUACCGCAUACGACCUACGGGUGAAAGCAGGGGAUCUUCGGACCUUGCGCGAUUGAAUGAGCCGAUGUCGGAUUAGCUAGUUGGCGGGGUAAAGGCCCACCAAGGCGACGAUCCGUAGCUGGUCUGAGAGGAUGAUCAGCCACACUGGAACUGAGACACGGUCCAGACUCCUACGGGAGGCAGCAGUGGGGAAUAUUGGAAAAUGGGCGCAAGCCUGAUCCAGCCAUACCGCGUGGGUGAAGAAGGCCUUCGGGUUGUAAAGCCCUUUUGUUGGGAAAGAAAAGCAGCAGGUUAAUACCCCGCUGUUCUGACGGUACCCAAAGAAUAAGCACCGGCUAACUUCGUG